rnacentral:rRNA from 1 species
ACUGGGUCUAAUACCGGAUAUGACCUUCCAUCGCAUGGUGGUUGGUGGAAAGCUUUUGUGGUUUUGGAUGGACUCGCGGCCUAUCAGCUUGUUGGUGGGGUAAUGGCCUACCAAGGCGACGACGGGUAGCCGGCCUGAGAGGGUGACCGGCCACACUGGGACUGAGACACGGCCCAGACUCCUACGGGAGGCGGCAGUGGGAAAUAUUGCACAAUGGGCGCAAGCCUGAUGCAGCGACGCCGCGUGAGGGAUGACGGCCUUCGGGUUGUAAACCUCUUUCAGUAGGGAAGAAGCGAGAGUGACGGUACCUGCAGAAGAAGCGCCGGCUAACUACGUGCCAGCAGCCGCGGUAAUACGUAGGGCGCAAGCGUUAUCCGGAAUUAUUGGGCGUAAAGAGCUCGUAGGCGGUUUGUCGCGUCUGCCGUGAAAGUCCGGGGCUCAACUCCGGAUCUGCGGUGGGUACGGGCAGACUAGAGUGAUGUAGGGGAGACUGGAAUUCCUGGUGUAGCGGUGAAAUGCGCAGAUAUCAGGAGGAACACCGAUGGCGAAGGCAGGUCUCUGGGCAUUAACUGACGCUGAGGAGCGAAAGCAUGGGGAGCGAACAGGAUUAGAUACCCUGGUAGUCCAUGCCGUAAACGUUGGGCACUAGGUGUGGGGGACAUUCCACGUUUUCCGCGCCGUAGCUAACGCAUUAAGUGCCCCGCCUGGGGAGUACGGCCGCAAAGCUAAAACUCAAAGGAAUUGACGGGGGCCCGCACAAGCGGCGGAGCAUGCGGAUUAAUUCGAUGCAACGCGAAGAACCUUACCAAGGCUUGACAUGAACCGGACCGGGCUGGAAACAGUCUUUCCCCUUGUGGGCUGGUUUACAGGUGGUGCAUGGUUGUCGUCAGCUCGUGUCGUGAGAUGUUGGGUUAAGUCCCGCAACGAGCGCAACCCUCGUUCUAUGUUGCCAGCACGUGAUGGUGGGGACUCAUAGGAGACUGCCGGGGUCAACUCGGAGGAAGGUGGGGACGACGUCAAAUCAUCAUGCCCCUUAUGUCUUGGGCUUCACGCAUGCUACAAUGGCCGGUACAAAGGGUUGCGAUACUGUGAGGUGGAGCUAAUCCCAAAAAGCCGGUCUCAGUUCGGAUUGGGGUCUGCAACUCGACCCCAUGAAGUCGGAGUCGCUAGUAAUCGCAGAUCAGCAAC